UUUUUCUCCUCCACAAACCACAGACUCAGUCUCUCCUCUCCUCACCUCUCCUCUCCAUCUCCGUCUCCAUCUCGAUCUGCUUAGCUGAGUUCCUUAUUCUCUUCUCAGUCUCUGAAAUCUAUCUUCGUGUAAAACUCUGUCAUCAGAUAUUCCGAUUGGAGAAGAUGAAAUGCUUAGUUUCAACCAGUCAUCGUGGAGAUUCCUCUAAGGACUUUGUAGUCAACGGGGAUAAUGAAAAUGCCCAUCGACCAUUGACGUGGGUACCUGCAUGUGCUGUGGUGACAUGGCUGAGUUCCGCAGAAGCAGCACACUACAGUGGAGAGAUGAGAUUCAACUCAGUGUACGAGGUUGGAGAGCUAUUUGAAUUGGGAAUUCAGUUAUCGUACUUGCUGCUACUAUUAGGUUUAGUUGGGGCUGGUACGUUCUUUGUGAUUCGUCAAGUCAUUGUUCGUAGAGAACUUGACCUUUCCGCCAAAUAAUUGCAGGAGCAAAUACGAAGUGGUGAUGCUAGUGCUACUGAGCUCUUUGAACUUGGUGCAGUGAUGUUGAGAAGGAAGUUCUACCCAGCUGCAAUAAAAUAUUUGCAACAAGCAAUCUCAAAAUGGGAUGGAGACGAUCAGGAUCUUGCACAGGUUCACAAUGCCCUUGGUGUUAGCUACAUCCGAGAUGAAAAGCUCGAGAAAGGAAUUAAUCAAUUCGAGACUGCUGUAAGGAAUUAAAGCCAUAG